CAUGAAAAAUAUCCAAACCUUUAUUUCACAUACACAGUAACAACAUAUAAUUUUCAGAUGAAUAUUUAAAAUCCACCUCCAAAUUGUCAAGAAAUAGCUGUCCUAAAAUAAAGGCUAUUGAUCAAUUCUUCUUGGUAAAGUAUAUACAGAACAUCUAUCAGGAGUUAUUACAACAAGGCAGUCAAGAUACAAAAAUGGAAAACACAAUCUCCCAAAAGUACAACUUUUCCCCACAAAAUGUGUGUGGAUUAAGGAACUCACUAUUUCAAGACUCUGAAUACACUUUGGUCUUAGCAAGUUCCAAGCAAGCAUACGGAAAUAACAAAAGGACCUGGAACUUUAAAUAAUAGUUAAAAAAAAUCACUAGGUAUAAGAUAAUUAUCUUAGUCUUUGUUUUUUAACAUGGAUUUAAGUCAUGAUUAAGAAAGUCUUGUGGGAUGAGGGACACUGUUCAUCCCUACACAUUACCUAAAUAGUUGCAUACCUUCAACUACUGACUGGGGUUACUGCUAUGAAAAGGACAAGGGAAGGGAAAUCUCUGAGGCUUCUGCUUUGGGUUUGGCUUUUGGCUUUUUGCACAGGUUUUUUAAGGCUGUGCAAAAUGCUCAGGAAGAUCAGGUUCCAGGCAGCCUGCCUGUUUCAGUAUUUUCAGCUGACAAUGCAAAAAGAGAGUGGUUGACAUCCACAAGUGUCCAGUGCUGGAGAGGAAUGAUGGGUCUUUGAAAAGCUAUGACUUUUCACACCCAGCACAUAUAUUCUCUAACAAGCCUUAUGCAUUAUGUAACCAAGAUUAAGAACUACAGAUCAGCCUUUCUCUGUGCCCUUAAUUGUUACUGGGGGGUUGUGGGGGUGGUAAAAGUGCCUCGACAGUAACUGAGGUACUGUCUGCCAAGAAAAUGAAAGCACCUGUCAAAUAGUUUUUCUGGAAAUAAGAAAAUAAUUCUCCCCCACUUUAAAAUACUACAUCACUACAGAGCCACAAACUGGUAGUUCCCUCUACUUGCUCCCAUGGUCUGUUCAGAAGGUACAUCUUUGGAUGUGCAUGUAUGGAAGAGGCCAUAACAUUACAUUCUGUUUUAUCUCAUUUAAACCAAGUAAACUUACACGGGGGCACUUAUAAUGAAAGAUUAAAACAAAUAUUGGUUUUGAGAUGCUUUGAAGAUAAUAAAAAAUUGGAAGCAGUUUUCAAGAAAUAUUUAACACCUGAGCAGACAUGGCUAUAUUGCAUGAAGUUCUCAGCAGGAGCUUCUGGUAGUGGUACAGCAAUUACAGAAUCUUCAGUAAACAAUCUGUCCUGUGAAAGGAUUUACACAGGAAGUGAUGUUAAGGAUAUGUAAUGAAAAAUUAAUAUACAGCAACAGCAUAAACAUGUCUAGAGAGGAUCAGAAAGCCAGAAAGAUAAGGCACAAAGCAAGAUUUGGUUAACAAUAAACAGUAAAGGCAAAAACAAGCAGUUCUACAGCUAUACUGAAAAAAUCGGAAAGUAAAAGGAUGUUUUGAUUCAUCUGUUGAUUCACAGAUGAGUCCAAGCUUUUAUUAUUAAAAGAAAUUACUUAAUACACCAUCUCUUUUAAGUAGAAGCUUAGAAAUGCAUAGGUUCCAAGACCAGAUACAAAUCAAAAUUGCCCAUUUUUGCUUGGUCAGGUUUUUUAAAUGUAAAUAGGAGUCUUCCUUUAGUACUUGUGAGGAUGGUUUGUGCCUUAAGGAAGAGGAGUACAAGAGGAGAGCUGCAGUCCUCUCUGCCUCUGCAGCUGCCUGGUACCUCUCUCAUUCACUGCUUAAUAUAUCACAAAAUGCUAAUAAAUACAUUCCAUUUUGCUUGCCAAUUAUAAAACAUAAACUGGAAAAGAGUUACUUAACAGAUACUUGUUAUUGACACCUUAUACAUGUGUUGCUUGGAUUCAUUGGCUUCACUUCCUUUUGUCGGAAUUGUAUUUAAUCUGUUUUGUUCUGCUUAUAUCAGAAUCUUACAGAGAGGGACUAUUAACAGUGAUUUCUUUGAUCACAGCCCAAGACACCACUACCCUUGAAAUCGUAAUUUUUUCUAUGUCUGUACAAAACCACAGUAUACCUAAGAACAAUUUUUUUUUUCUGAGUAAAUUCUAUCUACACCAAAUGUUUAUUUUCACUGUCCAUUUUUUCUCUUCUGAUAAUGAAAUUUAAAAGAUGUAUGGAGAAUGAAUGCAAUUAUCCUUUUAGGAAGUUCUGAAGUAUUUUAUUUUUAAGUAGAGUUUCCAUGUUCUUCUACUUGUAUGUGGAUUGAAUAAUUUCUAAAAAUUCCUCUGUGUAACAUAUAUCGUUAUUUUCCAUAUUACAAAAAGAGAUUUAGAAAAAUAUUUAGACCAAAUUUUUCUGCCUCUAAAUUCCCCUCUUUUCCCCAAAUGCUCACUAGCUCUCAUCUUUGCUUAACUACAUCUUUCACAUUAAGUCCCACUGCUUCUAAUUCUCCUUUGUUUCUGCUUUUAUGUCAAUUAUCAGUGGCUCAUGUCAAAACUUAAGUGCUUUUAAAAUGGAGCACAUUAUAAUGAUACAGAUUAUCUGAUUUAAAACACUUUUUCUUUGUUGCCAUUGUAAAUGCCCACAUAAGUAUACAGAAGAUGAAAAGGAGCCAUAGAUGUACAUAUAAGAUGUAUAUAUCUGUAAGUUUUUCAUAUACCCAGACAUGCAUACAUGUUUUUCUUGGCAUUUUGUAUUCAAAAGUAAUAAAGUUGGACAGAAAAUAUUUCACAGGUGACCUGCUGCCAAGAAGAAUUUGAAUUAUUUUCGGUCAUUUUGAGUUAUAAGGUCUCAAGAUAAAAGAAAAGAACAUUAAGAAUAAGCCAUUAAGUCACUUAACCAAACAGUCCUAAAGGAGUUUCCUGCUAAAGUGAACCACAUUUCACUGUCCCUCUACCUGCUGUAAUGAAUGAUUCAUGAAGCACUUCAGAUAGUAACAUGGGGUUCAGAGUGAUGAGCUGACAGUGUGACUUUCCUUGGCUUCACUGGCAAGCCAUCAAAAAGAAGUAUUAAAUCAUUGUGCGUUCUUUUUCCCCCCAAAGUUUUCCAACUGCCCAAUACACAUGAGCAUAUUUUCACUCAAAUGACAUGAGGCUGUUAGCUUACCUUUCAUAAUGAAGGAAGUACAGCAUCAUAUUUGCUCUGUAACUAAUUUAAGAUUUACCAGCAUGGAACGGUAUCCAUAUAUUUGCAAAAAGACCUUAAAGAUCUGUUAGUGAAAUCUUGUGAAAUUAAUACAACUCAGGGAGGACUGUACAGAAUGCAAAAAGUAGGGAUAAAAGGGGGAAAUAAUCAACCUAACCUCAUCUCUCACACACUAGUUUGGUUUUGUUGCAGAUGCUCCAGCUCUAGCUUCUAAACUAUAUCAAGUAGUUGUAAAUGAAAGAAAGAAAGGAAUUUUAUUCCUUUCUUUUCAUUUUACUCCUUUCUUUCUUUAUUCCUUCUUUUAACGAAAGCUCUGAUGCCAGUGCCCAUUAUUUGAAAGUUUGCACCACGAGCCCCUUGUAUCACUACAAGAGUGCUCUAACUGUAGGGAAGCAGCCACGUCCAUCCUUCUGCUAACAUAUUGCCAUCAACUAAUCAACUCAGCAGAAAUUCAUGCCCUCAGAAGAAAACAAGCAGACAGGAAAAAAGCAGAUGCAAGUUUAGGAGUUUCAUGAAUCAGAAAAAUCUCCUCCACCAAACCAUUCUGGAGAGCAGAAUACCCUAUGGAUGAUAAGAGUGUAAAAUUAAAUAAAAUGGGCAUUUCCUACAAAUUAUGAGUUUUUUUCUUAUCUACACAAAUAUGAUUCAUAGGAAAAGGUCACUUCUUCAGAGGUCCAGAUAUACAAAACCUUAACCAGUCUAUCAACACCAAAACCCAUUAAAGCUUUAGACUAGAUUAUUCCACUGAGCAUUAUUCCCACACCCUUUUCCCUUGACUGUGGAAAUAGGUUCCAAAUUUAGCCUUAAAUUGCUUAUGGGGUCCUGCAAAUUUUUAAGAGAAGUCAUCCUUAUGGGCACUCAUCACAAGCUCCCAGGCAGCAACACAGCCCCGGUUAUUACAUAUUUGAGAGGUGAAAGGUACAUAUCACCUGACAUAUGACCUGCAUACAUGGAAUUGUAUAGAAUACCCCAAAAAUAGGUGACUAAGCAGAGGUUCUCUAUGAAUGCAGAAAUGGAGAAAAAGACCAGUAUUCAGAUUGCAACAAUUUUAUAAUAUCAGCUUCUUUUCAGCUUCCAAACACACUUUUCCUGGGUUAUAUGAAAAUCAUUUAUAUAAAAUUUAAAAAUAGGAAUAUGAGACAAAUGUUCACUAAAACACUAGUAAGCCAUCUGACAAGGAACUGUCAUUGGCUAGUAAGAUGACCUGCUUGAGCAACACAAGAAUUUGAGCUUAAUACUUCAUGGAGUACGAAGCUUUGUAUCCUUUUUGAAAGGCGAAGAAAAUAGGUCAUAGAUUACAACUACACAGCUCAUCAGAAGUCAGGUUACUCAUAAUAAUUCUGACCUUAGAUGAAGCACAAGCAUUUUCAAAACAAAAGUCUCUAUUGCUCUCUGAAUUAAAUGGGUACAGCACAGCAGACUUGAUUCACACAUUUUAUUUCAGAGAUUAUUUUUUUCUGUUCCAACAGCAAUACAGAGUUACAGAGCUCAUAACAGCAACUUCAAAGGUGAAAUUGAUCCAUUUCACCAAAUAAAGUAAACAGUGCAAACCACCAUUUUUUUCUCAUUAAAUAAUAAGCAAGAAUGGUAUUGGAAUGGAUAAAACACUUAAAAUAUACAUGAGAAAAAAAUUCUUAAUGGAAUGGGGCUUAUUUCCCCCCAAAUGCUCCUGUUUUGCAAGAUAUUUUUCAAGUAUUCAGACAGAACUAGAGAACUGAAAAUCUUAAUCACAAGCUAGAAAAUUAGGGGUUUCAAUUUUCAUUAAAUAAAUAAAUAAAUCAUGGUUUGGGUAUUCCUCCACCACAAACACAACAUACUCAUCCUAAUAUUUUCAACAAUAAAAAAAAAAAAAAAAAAAA
rnacentral:lncRNA from 1 species